CUCUCUCCCUCCACUUAGUCACUCCUCUGUGAGCUGUCUUAUAUAUUCCUUAUGAUUGAUUGAUUCAUAUAUCCAUCUUCUCUCCCAGAAUGAGCCUUCCUUGAGGACACUGGAUCUACUUUAGCUGUGUCUCUCAAUACCUUGACCAAUACCUCAAAUAAGGCAUCCCCUUCAGGAUGUACAUUUAGCCCCAUCUUGGUGUCUGCUUCUUGGAGGAUGCAGAACAACACAACAAUGUUGCCUGAGCUAGAGCUCUGGCCUUUAUGAAAACACCCGCCUCUGUGUUGCACGAUUUCACAAAGGAAGCAAAGAAUUCUUAAAUGGCAUCCUUCUGUAACAUACCCAGGCACUGGAGCCACCCAACAAAUCAGAACUGGAAAGAAGGCAGGUAUUUGUACACAUGACAGCAGAUGGAUACUCACCUGGGUCGGACACCUCCACUGUUAGGUUGUACUGAGGAGUAUCUUGCUUCUUCAAAGCCUGUCUAGCUAACUGGAGCUUUCCCGUAUAUUCCUCAACCAGGAAGAGUCCAUCUGUGGGAAUUUGUGGGGUUUGUGCCACAAUUUUAUACUUUAAAAUA